rnacentral:lncRNA from 1 species
CACAAAUCUGAACUGAGGAUUUCUGGCUCAAGGCCAUGAGCAAGGGCAGAGGCCAUAGGAGAGCAGUAGCAUAGAAACUCUAGAAGCUUCCAGAAAAGCCUACUUGCAAAUGUGGCAGGAGAGAGAGAGCUGCUUGGCUGCCGUCCAUCCAAGUCUUUGCCGGAGCCCGUCGACGAGCUGGGCCGCGACUUCCCAGCGCAGCUGCCUGAGAGGCCGAGAAGACAGCUCCUCGCCCGCUUCGCGUACUGACGCACCCCAAGCGCUGAGCACCGCGCACCAGGCAGGCUCUCGGGCCACACGUGGUGGGCGAGCCCCGGGGUGACCGCGGAGGGAGACAGGGCUGCAUCCCCGGGUGUGUUAAUGAUGCAUUGACUUGAAAGGUAAAUUAAAAAUAAAACAAUGAAAGAGUGGAGAGUAGGAGGGCCUCAGAUUUCUUUCUUUUUUUAAAAGAUUAUUUUUAUUAUUCAUGAAAGACACAGAGAGAGGCAGAGACACAGGCAGAGGGAGAAGCAGGCUCCAUGCAGGGAGCCCCACGUGGGACCCGAUCCCAGGACCCCAGGACUCCAGGAUCAUGCUCCAGGCUGAAGGCAGGAGCUACACCACUGAGCCACCUGGGCUUCCCUGGACCUCAGAUUUCUUUUUUUCUCCAUAUCAGAUUUUACGGAAACGUGUCCAUUUCCAUGACUACGUUUUGUUUACAGAAGGGCUGAAAACGGCAGCUCGGAGUCUCCCCAGGGCGCCGCCACAUGCCCCACAGGAGGGCGGGCCGCCGGGCGCUUCGCCUCCUCAGGCCUGCGGAAGAGCCGCGCAUGCGCACCCGCAGCCGCUCGCGGCCCUUGUCGACGAGAGCGACUUGCCCACGGCGGCCUUGCGGCGCUUUUGGAUGGUCUCGGGCUUACAGCCUUUACCGCCUCUGCUUGCCAGACUUCCAGCUCUUUCUGUGGUCCUGGUCCAUGAACGUUCAUGGAGCUGCACAUCAAUAUCGCGGAUGUUAGAGGUUCAGAGACGAAUGAGCGUCCAUUGUGCUUGUUCUCAGCCUGCAUCAGGAGUCCGACUUGAGAUCCAGCUCAGUCCAGCCACCAGCUAGCCGUGUGACCUUGGGUGUAUUACCUAACUUUUCUCUGCCUGAGACCCCCUGCCCAAGUGGGAAGUGGAAAUUUAACAAGUUUGUUGUGCAAAUUAAAUGGGGCCUGGAAUGUAAAGCCGUUAGCACAGCUCAAAAGAUGUGGGGAGUGAUGAUCUCAUUGUGGUUAGCAUCUGUGGUAGGAUUUCAGCUUUUCAAUGUGGGGUUUUACAAGGAAGCAUUUAUCAUGGUCCUUCGGCCUUCAUUUUCCCAGUGCCAUAAGCGUUGGAGGCAUGCUCCAAUCUUGGAACAGUGGCUUGGCUUUGGAAGCCUUGCAGCUAACUGGCAGACAAUUGGUAAUUCACUAUUUUAAGUUUAGGACACUGGCAGGAGGUCUGAGUUAUGUUAAUUUCAAAGCCCUCUGACAGACAUCAGAUUUUUUUUUUUUUUAUUUUAAGUAGAGUUUGGCACUUAUUCAAAGAGUCAAAAGAAGCUGUGUGGGGAGAUAUCUUGUUUAACAUCUGUCAUUUAACACCACUUGUACCCCAGGGGGAGAAAGGAGAGGGUGCCUGAGAGCUAAAUUUAAGUCUAAGGAUCUAAGCAUUUUU